ACCGGCGCACGGGUGAGUAACGCGUAUCCAACCUGCCCAUCACUUGGGGAUAACCUUGCGAAAGUAAGACUAAUACCCAAUGGUGAUGGAUGGGGAUGCGUCUGAUUAGCUUGUUGGCGGGGUAACGGCCCACCAAGGCGACGAUCAGUAGGGGUUCUGAGAGGAAGGUCCCCCACAUUGGAACUGAGACACGGUCCAAACUCCUACGGGAGGCAGCAGUGAGGAAUAUUGGUCAAUGGGCGAGAGCCUGAUCCAGCCAAGUAGCGUGCAGGAUGACGGCCUAUGGGUUGUAAACUGCUUUUAUAAGGGAAUAUGUACCUUAUGAAUAAGGACCGGCUAAUUCCGUGCCAGCAGCCGCGGUAAUACGGAAGGUCCGGGCGUUAUCCGGAUUUAUUGGGUUUAAAGGGAGCGUAGGCCGGAGAUUAAGCGUGUUGUGAAAUGUAGAUGCUCAACAUCUGCACUGCAGCGCGAACUGGUUUCCUUGAGUACGCACAAAGUGGGCGGAAUUCGUGGUGUAGCGGUGAAAUGCUUAGAUAUCACGAAGAAC
rnacentral:rRNA from 1 species